rnacentral:tRNA from 1 species
GGGGAUGUAGCUCAGUGAUACAGCACUUGUCUACCAUGCACAAGGCCCUGGGUUCAAUCCCCCAGCACUUCCA